rnacentral:rRNA from 1 species
CAGUCGCCGCGGGAAUACGUAGGUGGCAAGCGUUGUCCGGAAUUAUUGGGCGUAAAGGGCUCGCAGGCGGUUUCUUAAGUCUGAUGUGAAAGCCCCCGGCUCAACCGGGGAGGGUCGUUGAAAACUGGGAAACUUGAGUGCAGAAGAGGAGGGUGGAAUUCCACGUGUAGCGGUGAAAUGCGUAGAGAUGUGGAGGAACACCAGUGGCGAAGGCGACUCUCUGGCCUGUAACUGACGCUGAGGAGCGAAAGCGUGGGGAGCGAACAGGAUUAGAUACCCCUGUAGUCCCUGUCUCUUAUAC